GGGCGCUACUCCACAAAAUAGCCCCGAUUCCGCUAAAAUGAAGGAGGAACCCCCGUCAGACUCACGGUGCGGCAGUGUGGAGACCUGUCGUAAUGCCGCUGCUGUUUUACCCGGCAGCGCGCGAGGGCAUACAUUGAGGAUUCAGUAUGUCCGGAGUCAGAAAACAAUGGCA
rnacentral:ncRNA from 1 species